CUUGGUGGCUCCUGGGUGGGGGUUGAGGGCUAGAAAGACCCAGACAUGAUUAGAAGCCUGGAGCUUUCAGCUCCACCCACCACUCUCCAGGCAGGGGAGAGGGGCUGGAGACUGAGCUAAUAACCGGAUUUGCCUCCAUGAUGAAGCCUGAACUACAGGUGCAGAGAGCUUCCAGAUGUUUAUCCACAAGGACAAAGAGAACAGGACAGGAGACGAUGGAAAUAAGAUUUGAGAAGCAGAAAGAGACACGCAGCACCUGACCCGGCAGCUCUGAGAAAGAUGAAUCAGAACAGUCUGUUUGCUGGCCUUUUGGGUUUCCUCUUCUAAGAAGUAACUCUUCAGAGUCUUUCCUUAUUUUUCUAUUGGAUGUACUCCUGGUCAUAAUUUAAACAACGAUCUUCUCUCAUCUUGA